GACGAACGCUGGCGGCGUGCUUAACACAUGCAAGUCGAACGGAAAGGCCCUGCUUUUGUGGGGUGCUCGAGUGGCGAACGGGUGAGUAACACGUGUGUAACCUGCCCUUGACUUUGGGAUAACUUCAGGAAACUGGGGCUAAUACCGGAUAGGAGCUCCUGCUGCAUGGUGGGGGUUGGAAAGUUUCGGCGGUUGGGGAUGGACUCGCGGCUUAUCAGCUUGUUGGUGAGGUAGUGGCUUACCAAGGCUUUGACGGGUAGCCGGCCUGAGAGGGUGAACGGCCACAUUGGGACUGGGAUACGGCCCAGACGCCUACGGGAGGCAGCAGGGGGGAAUAUUGCACAAUGGGCGGAAGCCUGAUGAAGCAAAGCCGCGUGCGGGAUGACGGCCUUCGGGUUGUAAACCGAUUUGGCCUGUGACGAAGCGUGAGUGACGGUAAUGGGUAAAGAAGCACCGGCUAACUACGUG
rnacentral:rRNA from 1 species